GGGGGUUUCGCCCGCGGGAGCAGCGGCGGCAGGCGCCGUUGCCCUACGGCGCCUCUGCCCGUGGGCUGCCAGCCCCGCCAGCAGCAAGCCUGCUGCAAGCAGACCGCCGGCCGGCUGCUGCAGGCACAGCGCUUGCGCAUGCGCCGGCGCUGUGCUGCCUGGCUGCGGUUGCCGCUGCAGGUGGCUGCAGGCAUGCAGAUCGAGGGUAGCAACUGUUACUGCCCUUCCUCGCUUUUGCGUCAACGAUUUUGACGUCAAAAUUCUUCCUAAACACAACACACGCAGUUCAAAACCAAUCAUUCGCACGAACAACCUGG
rnacentral:lncRNA from 1 species